rnacentral:lncRNA from 1 species
UAGGUGAAACAGGAAGACACAGAGUCAUAUAAAACACCCACAACAGAGUCAAUUUAACGGACUUCUAGCAUUAGGCCUCUCUAAUACUGAAAGGUUAAAGUUGCUCCCUUUCCUUUGGGGGUAGGGGUUGGUCUUCUGUCUUUUCCAAGUAUUCAGUAUUUUGCCUAUGUCAGAGAAAAAAGUUGGCAAUCCAUUAGACAACCACCUGCACUCCUGUUAUACCCUCAGUUCUUGGUUUUGUUCAUUACUGAAGAUUUUUCUUUACCUAUGGAUGCAGAGAUAAUUCCCCAGAUGAUAAGACAUUCCCUUGAGCAAUAUAUCCAAGGAC